AAACUGUUUUCUGUUUGUGGUAGACUGGGCAAGAAGGAACGGGAUUAAUUAUGUUGCUGGAAGAGAGAUUUUGAUGAGAUUUUAAGGCAGUGAAGUGCCUGGGAGUGCGCAGUGCCUCUAGCAUUGCAAAGCUCCAAGGAUGGGCGGAGAAGCGUUGGUAAGAUUCCCAGGGCUUCUCAAGCAUUCUGCUGUGAGUACAGUGACUGUGGUUUUAGCUCCAGUGCGACUCAUGUGCUUGCUCUAGAUGUCUGAGUCCGGUAGAGAGUCAUCUCCAAAUCAUGUCCUGGCUACAGCGGGGUGGACUUUUGCCCUGCUGAAGGAGAACUUGACAUGUCCUGUGAAUGGCUGGUCCAGGCUGUUGCAGUUUGUUCUGCGAAGUCACACUGCUGGUCUUUGAGACAAGAGAAUGAGGAAAUUCUUGCACCUACCCCUGCUCUCCACCACAUGCCAUCUCCUCUGUUUUCCCAGGAUGCCAAUCUCAUCAAAGAGGCUGCCUCAGAAGAGACAUAUUCCAUUUGUGCCUGGAUAUGAAUGGCCCUAAGGAUGCACCCCCGCUGGCUGCUUGCUUUAAGAGGUUGAGUGUUAUCUUUGGUGCAAUGUCAUUCUGUAUGGCUACGCUGAGUGCAAGGAGAAGCAACAGAGCAUCUCUUACAUGUGCUGCAGCUGAUUCAUUCCAGUGUUGCAUGUACUUCCUGUGAGGUAAUGAAAUACCUCAGUCGCGUCAAAACUGUGCUAAUUUCUAGAUAGUAGCUCACAUCUAAAUGCUAGAUAUUUCAUGAUGAGGUUGAAAGGCAGAUCCAGAAGGUAAUGUUCAAGGGUGAUGUCUGCGCUCAGAAAAGUAAUCCGCUGGAAGCCAAUGCAACUUUUUCUAUGAGUUAGGAGGAUUUGCAUGACUGUGAGCUCAGGAUUGGGCUUUUUCUGUUAUUCAGUUACAAGGAUGAAUGAGAAAGGUUAAAAACCUAAUAAAGAGUCUGUGCAACCCA
rnacentral:lncRNA from 1 species